CAUGCCAUCCGAUGUGAGUUAAUAUGUUUCCUGUCUUUUAUCAUCUUUUUUACCUACUUUAAUCAUAAAGACAUUCUGCUGUCUCUUCUCCAUCAAACUUUCCAGCUAUCUCAAAUCAGAGGCCUUAGCUGAUCAAAAAUGUGAAGCUCCUUGUCAAGCUGGUAAAUCCCUUUUGUCCUUUGUGCUUUAGAUAUUCUGCUUCCUCAUGCAAAGGUAAUCUCGUUCCUCACGCAAAGGUAAGCUCAUUCCUCACGCAAAGGUAAUCUCAUCCCUCACGCAAAGGUAAUCUCGUUCCUCACGCAAAGGUAAUCUCAUUCCUCACGCAAAGGUAAUCUCAUUCCUCACGCAAAGGUAAGCUCGUUCCUCACGCAAAGGUAAGCUCAUUCCUCACGCAAAGGUAAUCUCAUCCCUCACGCAAAGGUAAUCUCAUUCCUCACGCAAAGGUAAGCUCAUUCCUCACGCAAAGGUAAUCAUUCCUCACGCAAAGGUGAUCUCGUUCCUCACGCAAAGGUGAUCUCAUUCCUCACGCAAAGGUAAUCUCAUAAAACUUUUGGGAAAGAAAAAACCUGUUACACACACACACCCCCCACCACCAUGUUUGUUUACUCCUGUUAUGAGAAUGAUGCACGAUCACAGGAGAAAAUUUCAAAAGUGCAGAAAAACAAGGGAAAAAUAGUUAUUUGUAGUACUAGCAAAUUAAUUAGCAAAUUAAUAUUCCGGCACCUAUCCUUUCAAUUGUUUCUAUGUAUGGUUUCUAUGUAUGAAAUGGAUAUAUCAUUUUGUCUAUAAAUUUUUAUACAAAAAUUUAAACAUGAAGCUCAUGUAUAUGUGAUGCAUAGAACUUGCGUUUUCCACUUACUGUAUCAUGAACAUUUUCUCAAGAUUUCGUGAAAUCCUUGACUUUUGACAGUGAUGUGGUUUUCUUUUUUGGGGGGCAGGGGAGUUAAAAGAAGAACAUUUAUUUUUCUUCUUAAAACGAAAGAGCAGAUUUUCGAUUUAUACCAGUAGGUGUCAUCCAUUCACACAAAGCACAUCCAAGAAAGAAACCCAAUGUCGUUUGAGAACCUUGUAAUAGCUACCAAAUUCCGGCGUUGUAUUCUAGCCUGUCUGAGACACUUGGGUGGAGGGCAUUUUGAUUUUAAAUAGAAAUUGGUGAAGAUGCUGCUUUGCCCUUAGGGUGCUUGCAAAGAAAGAAAAGAAGAGAGAGAGAGGUUUUCAAAUGGAGUGAAUUUCAUAGGUUUGCAUUUCUCUUCUUAUAUCCUAAAAAUACAUCAAUUACUGGGCCAAAGUUAUUAAAAUCUGAAUAGCCACCCAAAGAAGGCCAAUGAAGUUAUUGUCACGUUUUUCUGAAAGAGGAUUACCAAUCUUAAUUCCAUGUUUAAAAAUUCAAGAUGAGUCAAAACGUAAUGAGAUAUUUUUGAAACAUCAAGAAAUUAUUAAAAAGUCAUGAAAUUUUAAGACAAUGAAAUUUGCUUAUAAUAACUAGAGUUUUUGGUGUCAUGUAAACCUUCUUAGGAGCUUUCAUAUCCAUUGCCUUUGGUCCCCACAAGAAUCCUCUGAGGUUACAGAUGAGUACAUUUCUGUUCAGAGAGGUUAAGCAUCUUGCUCAGGGCCACACAGCUGGAGCCAGGUCUAGAACAAGGAUCUUCUGCCUUUAUAUGCAUAUGUAUAGGGACGCUCUGGGCCAAAAUGGAUCUUCAGAUACGUUUUCUUUGCCUCUCAUAGUGUUGGGUCACACUGUAUUUUAAAUUUUUUGAAUAUGUUGCAA
ensembl:lncRNA